rnacentral:rRNA from 1 species
GACGAACGCUGGCGGCGUGCCUAAUACAUGCAAGUUGAGCGCUGAAGGUUGGUACUUGUACCAACUGGAUGAGCAGCGAACGGGUGAGUAACGCGUGGGGAAUCUGCCUUUGAGCGGGGGACAACAUUUGGAAACGAAUGCUAAUACCGCAUAAAAACUUUAAACACAAGUUUUAAGUUUGAAAGAUGCAAUUGCAUCACUCAAAGAUGAUCCCGCGUUGUAUUAGCUAGUUGGUGAGGUAAAGGCUCACCAAGGCGAUGAUACAUAGCCGACCUGAGAGGGUGGUCGGCCACAUUGGGACUGGGACCCGGCCCAAACUCCUACGGGAGGCAGCAGUAGGGAAUCUUCGGCAAUGGACGAAAGUCUGACCGAGCAACGCCGCGUGAGUGAAGAAGGUUUUCGGAUCGUAAAACUCUGUUGGUAGAGAAGAACGUUGGUGGGAGUGGAAAGCUCAUCAAGUGACGGUAACUACCCAGAAAGGGACGGCUAACUACGUG